ensembl:lncRNA
AUGAUCUUCUAUCUGGUUGUUGCUCUUCUAAUCAUUAUCUGGUCCUCCCUCUGUAUAGCCUAGUAGCCUAGUGGUUAGAGUGUAGGGACGGCAGGUAGCCUAGUGGUUAGAGUGUAGGGACGGCAGGUAGCCUAGUGGUUAGAGUGUAGGGACGGCAGGUAGCCUAGUGGUUAGAGUGUAGGGACGGCAGGUAGCCUAGUGGUUAGAGUGUAGGGACGGCAGGUAGCCUAGUGGUUAGAGUGUAGGGACGGCAGGUAGCCGAGUGGUUAGAGUGUAGGGACGGCAGGUAGCCUAGUGGUUAGAGUGUAGGGACGGCAGGUAGCCUAGUGGUUAGAGUGUAGGGACGGCAGGUAGCCUAGUGGUUAGAGUGUAGGGACGGCAGGUAGCCUAGUGGUUAGAGUGUAGGGACGGCAGG